UAAGGAAUAUUGGUCAAUGGGCGAAAGCCUGAACCAGCCAUCCAGCGUGCAGGAAGAAGGCCCUAUGGGUUGUAAACUGCUUUUGUCAGGGAAGAAACCUUUGGAUUUACUCCGAAGCUGACGGUACCUGAAGAAUAAGCACCGGCUAACUCCGUGCCAGCAGCCGCGGUAAUACGGAGGGUGCGAGCGUUAUCCGGAAUUACUGGGUUUAAAGGGUGCGUAGGCGGCCAGGUAAGUCAGGAGUGAAAGUUUGCGGCUCAACCGUAAAAUUGCUUUUGAUACUGCCAGGCUAGAAUUAGGAUGAGGUCAGCGGAAUGUGGCAUGUAGCGGUGAAAUGCAUAGAUAUGCCAUAGAACACCAAUUGCGAAGGCAGCUGGCUAGACCUGGAUUGACGCUGAGGCACGAAAGCGUGGGGAGCGAACAGG
rnacentral:rRNA from 1 species